AUAUGUAAUGAAUCCUAAAAGUACGUGUGCUCCAAAAUGAUGAGAUCCUACCUAAGCUUUUGUGUAACACGUGUGUUUCACAGUCCCUACAGAAGGCACUGCCCUGGCUUGGAAGUCUGAGGCUGGGAAAAUAUGCAGUCAUUUGAUACCAUCACCUUUUCUGAGUUUGCCAAGACAUUUCUUGUUAAAGGUUGUUGAACUACAUAUGGUUUCCUGAAUGGCUAUUCUACUUGUCUCUGUUGUCAACACCUAUUUUUCAACACUCGCAUUUACCUGAAAAUUUUCUACUUAUAAUCAAAAGCCCAGUUGAAAUAAAUUUUGUUCACAAAGACUGUCUUGUCUCAAGAACAAUUAAUCACUCCCUCAUCUGUCUUAUUUCUUUGUUUCAU
rnacentral:lncRNA from 1 species